AUUGAACGCUGGCGGCAGGCCUAACACAUGCAAGUCGAGCGGAUGAAGGGAGCUUGCUCCUGGAUUCAGCGGCGGACGGGUGAGUAAUGCCUAGGAAUCUGCCUGGUAGUGGGGGAUAACGUCCGGAAACGGGCGCUAAUACCGCAUACGUCCUGAGGGAGAAAGUGGGGGAUCUUCGGACCUCACGCUAUCAGAUGAGCCUAGGUCGGAUUAGCUAGUUGGUGGGGUAAAGGCCUACCAAGGCGACGAUCCGUAACUGGCCUGAGAGGAUGAUCAGUCACACUGGAACUGAGACACGGUCCAGACUCCUACGGGAGGCAGCAGUGGGGAAUAUUGGACAAUGGGCGAAAGCCUGAUACAGACAUGCCGCGUGUGUGAAGAAGGUCUUCGGAUUGUAAAGCACUUUAAGUUGGGAGGAAGGGCAGUAAGUUAAUACCUUGCUGUUUUGACGUUACCAACAGAAUAAGCACCGGCUAACUUCGUG
rnacentral:rRNA from 1 species